rnacentral:rRNA from 1 species
GACGAACGCUGGCGGCGUGCUUAACACAUGCAAGUCGAGCGAGGAACUUCGGUUCCUAGCGGCGGACGGGUGAGUAACACGUGGGUAACCUACCUCAAAGAGGGGAAUAGCCUCCCGAAAGGGAGAUUAAUACCGCAUAACAUCAUAGCUUCGCAUGAAGCAAUGAUUAAAGGAGUAAUCCGCUUUGAGAUGGACCCGCGGCGCAUUAGCUAGUUGGAGAGGUAACGGCUCACCAAGGCGACGAUGCGUAGCCGACCUGAGAGGGUGAUCGGCCACAUUGGAACUGAGCCACGGUCCAGACUCCUACGGGAGGCAGCAGUGGGGAAUAUUGCACAAUGGGCGAAAGCCUGAUGCAGCAACGCCGCGUGAGUGAUGACGGUCUUCGGAUUGUAAAGCUCUGUCUUUUGGGACGAUAAUGACGGUACCAAAGGAGGAAGCCACGGCUAACUACGUG